rnacentral:rRNA from 1 species
CCUACGGGGGACAGCAGUGAGGAAUAUUGGUCCAUGGGCGCGAGCCUGAACCAGCCAAGUAGCGUGAAGGAUGACUGCCCUACGGGUUGUCCACUUCUUUUCUAAAGGAAUAACUUGAGUCACUUGUGCCUUUUUGUAUGUACUUUAUGCAUAAGGCUCGGCUAACUCCGUGCCAUCAGCCGCGGUACUCCGGAGGGUCCGAGCGUUAUCCGGAUUUAUUGGGUUUAAAGGGAGCGUAGAUGGGUUGUUAAGUCAGUUGUGAAAGUUUGCGGCUCAACCGUAAAAUUGCAAGUGAUACUGGCAGUCUUGAGUACAGUUGAGGUAGGCGGAAUUCGUGGUGUAGCGGUGAAAUGCUUAGAUAUCACGAAGAACUCCGAUUGCGAAGGCAGCUUACUAAACUGCCACUGACAUUGAUGCUCGAAAGUGUGGGUAUCAAACAGGAUUAGAUACCCUUGUAGUC